UACGUAGGGUGCAAGCGUUGUCCGGAAUUAUUGGGCGUAAAGAGCUCGUAGGCGGUUUGUCGCGUCGGCUGUGAAAACCUGAGGCUCAACCUCGGGCCUGCAGUCGAUACGGGCAAACUAGAGUUCGGUAGGGGAGACUGGAAUUCCUGGUGUAGCGGUGGAAUGCGCAGAUAUCAGGAGGAACACCAAUGGCGAAGGCAGGUCUCUGGGCCGAAACUGACGCUGAGGAGCGAAAGCGUGGGGAGCGAACAGG
rnacentral:rRNA from 1 species